GGGGUUGUGGCUCAUCGGUAGAGCACUUGCCUAGCAUGUGUGAGGCACUGAGUUCGAGCCUCAGCACCACA
rnacentral:tRNA from 1 species